rnacentral:rRNA from 1 species
UCUAUUUGUCAAUAUAAAAAGUCUAACCUGCCCACUGAUAGUUAUAAAUUUAAGGGCCGCGGUAUUAUGACUGUGCAAAGGUAGCAUAAUCAUUAGGUUUUUAAAUGGAAUCUUGUAUGAAUGGUUGGACAAGAGAGAAACUGUCUUUACAUUAGAAUUUGAAUUUAACUUUUAAGUGAGAAGGCUUAAAUAACCUAGGGGGACGAUAAGACCCUAUAAAAUUUUACAUUAUAAUUAUAUUUUAUAGAAUUUGGGUAAUAAAAAUUUAUUUAAUUAUUUUGUUUUGUUGGGGCGACAAAAGUAAAAAUUAUACUAACUGCUUUGUAUAAAACCAAUUAUAAGUGAGUAACCAAAACAAUGAUCCUAAUUAUUGAUUUAAAGAUUAAGUUACUUUAGGGAUAACAGUGUAAUUUUUUUUGAGAGUCCAUAUCGAAAAAAAAGUUUGCAACCUCGAUGUUGAAUUAAAAUAUCUAUAUAAUGCAGCUGUUAUAUAAGAAGGUCUGUUCGACCUUU